GAUGAACGCUGGCGGCGUGCCUAAUACAUGCAAGUCGAGCGAACAGACGAGGAGCUUGCUCCUUUGACGUUAGCGGCGGACGGGUGAGUAACACGUGGGUAACCUACCUAUAAGACUGGGAUAACUUCGGGAAACCGGAGCUAAUACCGGAUAAUAUUUCGAACCGCAUGGUUCGAUAGUGAAAGAUGGCUUUGCUAUCACUUAUAGAUGGACCUGCGCCGUAUUAGCUAGUUGGUAAGGUAACGGCUUACCAAGGCAACGAUACGUAGCCGACCUGAGAGGGUGAUCGGCCACACUGGAACUGAGACACGGUCCAGACUCCUACGGGAGGCAGCAGUAGGGAAUCUUCCGCAAUGGGCGAAAGCCUGACGGAGCAACGCCGCGUGAGUGAUGAAGGUCUUCGGAUCGUAAAACUCUGUUAUUAGGGAAGAACAAACGUGUAAGUAACUGUGCACGUCUUGACGGUACCUAAUCGGAAAGCCACGGCUAACUACGUG
rnacentral:rRNA from 1 species